ensembl:lncRNA
UGAAAACCGAAGUUUACAUUCCAUCUUCAAAAUGAGAUACUGCAAGAAUGCCAAAAAUCCAGCACAGCCUUCUCAAGUAACAAUCCAAUCCUUGAGGGGACAUUGGGAUUUUGAGUUGUGGAAUUUUCCACCCAUUUAUCCUUUCAUUUUCAGUCUUCUUUGCCUCAAAGUGUCAGUUGGCUCCUCUGAGUCACAGCUGUACAAAUCACAGGACUAUUUUUUUAAUUGGCACCAGGCAUAUACAUUAUUCAUCUAUUUGGUUUCAUCUGAAGCAAAUCAAAUAAAGAAGCACUUUUAUUUUCCAAUGAAAUAUUCAAAGCUGCUUUUUCCCCACAAGAGACUAGGCAGAAAACUCCAUCCAUGAUCUAUGUAUGAAGGAGAGGAUUCUGAGGCUCAGAUGUGUCACCUUGGAGGAGAGUUCAGCACAGCUGACUCAGAAGUUAUGCCUUAGAAAUGUGAAGACCUGCCUGAGGAGGAAGACUUAUGUAACAUUAGAAGGAAAAAAAAAAAGAAAACCUGAUCCUAAAGUCAUGUCUAUGCUGAUUCACAUCUCUGCACAGCCAGCAAAGAGAUCUUGUUAUAACAGAGAUGAGAUCCCCAUCACUUCUCUGCUUAAAACUCUGUAAGGCAUUCCUCUGAACCAUGGUCCAUAUGACUUGGGAUUCCUCCUCCUUGGACAUGCUAGACUCAUUAAGCCACAGGACCUUUGCAGUUACUGUUCACUCUCCCUGAACUGCUAUUCCCCAGAUUACUUAAGAUAAUCUCAGUCAUUUAUUUCUGCACCAUCAUGCCUGCAUGCCUCUGUCUCCAAGGAAUAAGAAUAUCAGAUAUGAAUGAAAGCUGCAAAGAAGCCAGAAAGAUAGAGCCCAGAGUCUCCCAAGAUUGUCUCUCUCAUUGCAUACACAAAGGAGACUCUGAAAUGGGACACUGGAUUUACAAAAAUAAGAAGAAAUAAUAGCUUCUUCCAUAAUAGAAAUUAGGCUAAGAAGAGAAACUGAAGGCAUAUGAUGCUGUAAUUGAACAGAAACAAUAAUAAUAAAGACAGUUUGUAAUGUGGAACACUUGGAAAGAAAUUAAUAAAUGAUGGAUAGAAAUCUUUCUGAGACUGAAAACUGAGUAAUUCUCUUACAGGACCAAAACAUUUCCUUCAGGGAACCACUAUGGCUAGGAAAUUGAGACAAGAUUUCCUACUCACCUGCCCACAAUGUGCUC